rnacentral:rRNA from 1 species
AUACGUAGGGGGCGAGCGUUGUCCGGAAUUACUGGGCGUAAAGGGUGCGCAGGCGGCCGAUUAAGUCAGAUGUGAAAUACCAGGGCUCAACCCUGGGGGUGCAUUUGAAACUGGUUGGCUUGAGUGCAGGAGAGGAAAGCGGAAUUCCUAGUGUAGCGGUGAAAUGCGUAGAGAUUAGGAGGAACACCAGUGGCGAAGGCGGCUUUCUGGACUGUAACUGACGCUGAGGCGCGAAAGCGUGGGGAGCAAACAGGAUUAGAUACCCUGGUAGUCCACGCCGUAAACGAUGGAUACUAGGUGUAGGGGGUUUGAUACCCUCUGUGCCGGAGUUAACGCAAUAAGUAUCCCGCCUGGGGAGUACGGCCGCAAGGUUGAA